rnacentral:rRNA from 1 species
GACGAACGCUGGCGGCGUGCUUAACACAUGCAAGUCGAACGGAAAGGCCCUGCUUGCAGGGUACUCGAGUGGCGAACGGGUGAGUAACACGUGGGUAAUCUGCCCUGCACUUCGGGAUAAGCCUGGGAAACUGGGUCUAAUACCGGAUAGGAGCCAUUUUUAGUGUGAUGGUUGGAAAGUUUUUUCGGUGUAGGAUGAGCUCGCGGCCUAUCAGCUUGUUGGUGGGGUAAUGGCCUACCAAGGCGGCGACGGGUAGCCGGCCUGAGAGGGUGGACGGCCACAUUGGGACUGAGAUACGGCCCAGACUCCUACGGGAGGCAGCAGUGGGGAAUAUUGCACAAUGGGCGCAAGCCUGAUGCAGCGACGCCGCGUGGGGGAUGACGGCCUUCGGGUUGUAAACUCCUUUCGCUAGGGACGAAGCUUUUUGUGACGGUACCUAGAUAAGAAGCACCGGCUAACUACGUG